rnacentral:lncRNA from 11 species
GCUAGCCUGGAGAAUGAUCUUUAGGAGAAAAGUAUUUGUUUUAUGUUGGCUGUGGAUACUGCUGGUUUUCCCCCAGGUUUGUGGAUUUUCUGUAUCCUGACCUGUCUCUUGAACUCUUGGAACCUGGAACCUCUGGACUGGCCAUUGUCUAUGGGCAUUUGGAGAAGAGAAUUGCAUUCAGUCCUUACUCCUUCAUGCCUGGGCUCCAGCAGCCAGUAAGGCUUUUUCCCUCCAUGUUCCAGCAAGGGCUAGAUUUAAACCUCAGCCCUCUGCCUCCUUGUCUCUGUGUGUUCUGUCUUGUUUAGUGUGUAAGCCUCCAGGCAAAAAAAAUGUCAAACUAUUUUAUUCAAAGUCAGGCUGGGAAACCAUAUGCUUGGAAGGUGAAAAAUAAAUACUCUCAAUAAAAGUACAAGUGCUCUAAAUAAAUAAAAAGAUUAGAUACUUGACAGAUG